UACUCAGAGGGUGUGCUCAGUCUUUCUUCUACAAUGUUUGUGAAUAUCAAACUUUAAAAGCAACUGGAUCAAAUAGUGUUAAACUCCUCAGAGCACAAUAUUAGUGCAGCUAAAGACUUCCCAGAAUAAACCCUUAUACAUACACCUUCCCUUCUGCUUUACUCAGAUCAGUGGUUUUGGGUAGGAUUUUUUAGGCAGAAUGAAGCAGCCUUUUAUAUUUAAGAAAAAUGAAGAUCAGAAAAAAAUCCAAAAGGAAACUUUCUCUCCAGUUUGGGCUGUCAAGAAGAUACAGGAGAAAAGAAGAGGACAUUGUCUAUUCUUUACUUACACCUGUCAUGGACAAAAUGAGGAACUUACACAUUCUGUACAUGGAAAAAUCCUUGAUCCUGUGUAUUAUUUGCUUGCUUUUAAGAUUAUGAGCUGCUGAAGGACAAGUGAGAAGCUCUCUUCUGUGCUGAGCAUUCACUGCUGCUAGCAACUCUGAGGAGAGCUGGUGAGAACACUUUGAACCGAUCAUGUUUCUGAGGAUUGGGAUCAAGUGUCCAGUAAAAGAAUGAGACAGAAACCUCAUAUUUCCUAUCUAAAAAUGGAUAUCUUCAAUGCAGCUCCAUUUAAUGACUUAUUUUCAGACCUUACAAGUAACCUUCUUCAAGGAAA